rnacentral:rRNA from 1 species
GAUGAACGCUCGCUACAGGCUUAACACAUGCAAGUCGAGGGGCAGCGGUAUCGAAAGCUUGCUUUCGGUAGCCGGCGACCGGCGCACGGGUGAGUAACGCGUAUCGAACCUGCCUCAUACUCGGGAAUAGCCUUGCGAAAGUAAGAUUAAUGCCCGGUGUUUUCAGAGUCCCGCAUGAGGCUUUGAACAAAGAUUUAUCGGUAUGAGAUGGCGAUGCGUCCCAUUAGCUUGUUGGCGGGGUAACGGCCCACCAAGGCAUCGAUGGGUAGGGGUUCUGAGAGGAAGGUCCCCCACAUUGGAACUGAGACACGGUCCAAACUCCUACGGGAGGCAGCAGUGAGGAAUAGUGGUCAAUGGGCGGAAGCCUGAACCAGCCAAGUAGCGUGCAGGAAGACGGCCCUCCGGGUUGUAAACUGCUUUUAGUUGGGAAUAAAACGGGGCUCGUGAGCCCCCUUGCAUGUACCAUCAGAAAAAGGACCGGCUAAUUCCGUG